rnacentral:rRNA from 1 species
GAGUUUGAUUCUGGCUCAGGAUGAACGCUAGCGAUAGGCUUAACACAUGCAAGUCGAGGGGCAUCACGGGAUUAGCUUGCUAAUCUUGGUGGCGACCGGCGUAAGGGUGCGUAACGCGUAUGCAACUUGCCUGUCAGUGGGGAAUAACCCGGAGAAAUCCGGACUAAUACCGCAUACACUUUGGUUUCCGCAUGGGGACUUUAGGAAAGAUUUAUUGCUGACAGAUAGGCAUGCGUUCCAUUAGAUAGUUGGUGAGGUAACGGCUCACCAAGUCAACGAUGGAUAGGGGAGCUGAGAGGCUUAUCCCCCACACUGGAACUGAGACACGGUCCAGACUCCUACGGGAGGCAGCAGUGAGGAAUAUUGGUCAAUGGGCGAGAGCCUGAACCAGCCAAGUCGCGUGAAGGAAGACGGUCCUAUGGAUUGUAAACUUCUUUAGUAGGUGAGUACAAGCAGUUACGUGUAGCUGUAAGCAAGU